GCUCCUAGCUGCUGCUAGACAGGGUACAGCCUUCUGGAGGUUUGGUGUUUCUGCUGCCAGUAAAAAGAGCCAUAAUUUGCUCUGGUCAUUUGUUCUGGUCUUCCUAGGGAACUGUUCUGAAAGGGUAAAAGCAGUUACUGGGUGUAGCGGAAAUGCUAAAUCACGGCCUGAACCAGUGAUGGAGCACCAGUGAGAAGGCGGGGCUAACCCAGGGGAGCUCAGGUGCAUGCAGUGUACCUGAGUGACAGGAAGGGGUGGAGCCGGGAUCCACCCCUUCCCAGACCUCAUUUAAGGGUUGGCAAUGGAGCCAAAGGUGUUUUGCUGGAGACUGUUGUGUACCUGAGGUCUUUUAAGGUGUCCUUAAUUUGAAGACCAAAACUUGCUGAGCUUCAGGCUGCUUCCUGGUGGAUUCUUUGGGAGGGCUUUCCAGCUGCUGUCAGUCAGUCCUGCUCUUGUACUGCACUAGCAGAAGUCCUGUGCAAAUCUGUGCACUAUUACCAAAAAGCAAAUUGAAAGAUGAGCACAGUGUGAGUAUCAGCAGCCUGAAUCAAACCCACUUAAACCAGUGCAAUCCAGGAUUGUGGGUACUGCUCAUGUAUGUAUAUAAAACAAAGCAGGAACAAAACGGCCUGCUAUACUUGGAAUGUAUGCAUUUUUACUGGCUGCACUAUGCAGAACUGGAGAGGAGAGCUGCAUGGAAGCAAGGACAGCUUUUCACAACUUCAGGGGAAAGGAAGCUUCUCUUGACUAGUGCUGAAUCUUGCUGCAUUAGGAAUGAAGUCAGCUCCUUAAUCUCACUGUAGCACUCUUCCUUUAUUUUUCCAAUUGAUUAUAUUUCUCUUCUGAAGAUUGUAAGUAGAAGGACACAACAAAAGCAUUUGCUUCUCCAGUCUUUUGUGGUGAAUUGUGUUUGAAUCCAGUUGGUCCACAAUCUGGGUUCUGUUAGCUUGCGUGCUGUUCCUUCUGAGGAGUUCUCUGCUGCUGUAGCUUCAUGAUUCACCAUCACUGGGCAUACAUGAAAGAGAAAAAACACUGGCAUCACGCUGCUUGGUCACUUCUCUCUUAUGUAUGGGCAAGAGCUGGUCCAGCUUCUGUUGGCCAGAGGCUCUCCUGCCACCAGGCAUGGACUCAGAAAUCAAAUACCUUUUCCUAGACUUGGAGAUAACAUUUUACGUCUUGAUUAUUUAAUGUUAAAACUGAUAGGUGAAUUUUCAUUUUGUUCCUUUGUUUUCUGCCUAGGUAGCUUGUUCCCUGCCACUUCAUAAAGAAUGUUUGAUAUGCACCAGAAUAAAGCCAAAUAUUAAGAUUUUGUCCCUUUAAACAAAAGUUGCAUUUUCUUUAUUUUUUAAUGUUUUAUUAAACUUCAUGUUGGGGGAUCUGUUAUGUCCCAGCCUGAACUGAUGAUUGAGUACCCGGUGAAGGGGAUGGCUGGCCCUGGAAGCAUAGGUGCAAGCAAUUCACCUGUGCUUCCCAUGUGUCCCUGGGUCCACCCCUCUCUGGUUUCAUUUAAGGGCUAGCAUCUGAAGGGAGGACUUCUCCUGGAUGAGGGCUGCUUCCUGAGAAGGAGAGUUCUAUAGCCAGAGACUCUCAUCACCUGUUGGGUGAGUCAAGUUUUUCCCUAUAUACGAUUAUUGAUAUUCCUAAUGAUACUUUGCCUGAUAUUAUAAAGAACUUAUUGGAAGCAGUGUUACUGCUUCUGAGGACCAACACUGUACAGCCUGGGAAGAGAGAAUUUCUUUGUCCAGAUUUAAUUCCCCCCAAACCUCACUUCAUAAGUUACCUUUUUUUUUUUUGGACAAAAAAAAACCCAAAACCCUGAAGAGUGCCCCAUGGAUGCAAUAAAGUGUGUGUGAGGGGGGCUUUGCUUACUCAGCAGUCCCGAAAGAUGGGUGUUGUGCCUAUCUCUACCAGAGGAGCAAAGGUGCACAAGCCUUUACCUGCCUCCUGUAUGCAUGGAAACCCUGGACAUGAUUUUAGCACUAGGCUUCAAAGGCAAGAUUUGUUUAUACAAAACAUAUCAAUAUACGUAUCUAUUUGUAAUGCAGUGAGUUUGCAUGUGGGGCAGAUGAGCACCACUUUGAAGGGAGUCAGGGCUACAAUCCCUUGCCCAAGUGCACAACUUCACAGCCUUGAUGCUCGUAAGUAAGCUUUUACAAUAUAAUAGCUUUGUUUUGUUUUACUUCGUGGCCUUUCACUUUCCUUGCUCAAGAGAUGCUGAAGUACUGCACAUACUUUUGGGGGCAUUAUUUAGUCAGGGAAAAGUAACCGUUUUUGCCUAAUAAUCACAGAAUUGUUGGAAGGCACCUCUAGAGAUCAUCUAGUCCAACUCCCUGCUGAAGUGAGUUACCUGGAGUAGGUUACAAAUGUUCAAUCACAGAAAUGACUGGGAAACAAGAAAUGGUACCACUUCAACUGUUUUUACUUUGAAAUUAAGCUUGUUCCAAAAUGUCACAUAAAAUGAACUUAGGAAAAGUAGUUAGUUAAGGUAAACCCUUAAUUGCUGUGUUGUUUAAAAUUUUACAUUUAAAAAGUCACCUACUCUGUGAAGUUGUUUUGGAACAACAUUCAUUCUGAAAACAUGAAAAUGUCAUUAAUGCAAUGUUUGGCCUUGGAUGCUUUCAAAAUGUUGUCUUAUAUAAAUCAUAGCACAAAACACUUGAGCCUUAAACUCCCAAGAACCUUGCAUGAAGAAGGAAAUUAAUGCCAGACAACUGUGCUAUGUCAGGCACUGAGAAGUUUCCUGUACUGAAUCUCAAUGAUUUCAAAAAAAAAAAAAAAAGCCCAAAUCUAACACCAUUUGGGAAGAAAUUUGGGAAGCUGAUCUGAGUACUGAUGUUAGCAUCUCAGGCAUCUGUCACAGCAGCCUGAUCAGUGAGGGAAGCUCUGUCUGUGCCAUCUGCUUGUCUGUCCCACACAGGUUUGCUGCUGCAGGGUUAGUUAGGGGCUUACAGGCAGCCACUGGUUUAAAAUUAAAGGAGCAUCGAACCAUUUGAGCUGGAGCCAAAGUCCUCAUGCAUAAAACACUCUAAAAUUUCAAUCUGCCCCCUAGUUGGUCUAUUUACUAUUAUAUAGUUUAGAAAUGAGGUUAUCUUGGAAUGGCUGGCAUUGGCUGUAUUUCUUCAAAAAAUAUAAUGAAUUCAACAUACCUCGGAUUGGCCACUGAUUCUUUUUCCUCUUCCCUUACAGUAGGUAAACAUUCACAAUCAGCUGAAAAAGGAUGAGAAGAAAGAUGAUAAUUACUAUUGGCUGUUAGUCUGUUUAUUUCAGAAUUGCAUCUACUUUGUGCAGUGACUCUGGUGUAUAAAUCUGCUCUUCCACACCCUUUUAUCUGUAAAACCUCCAUGUCCCAAGCAGCAUCAAUGUUGUGUUUUAAAUCCCCUUUCCCUUUGACAGUCAUUAUGGUAAUUUGUUAGAGAUAUUUCAGUUUUCUGUGUACACAUACACAAAGUCUCUCCCUUGGAGGACUGUUUCCCAUGAGCUACCAUGGGGGGGACAAUUUGUUAAUCCUCCACUGCUGAUGGCUGCGCCCAUGCUUUGUAGUUCCAUUUGGGGUUUAGGGAAUGUUACAAAAAAAAACCAAACCACAAAAUGGUUGCUCCCUUCUGUCCAGAGAAUUUAAAUUAUUUUACAGUGCUGCUUUCCCAUGUGCUAUACUGAAUGCCUUUACUAUUGUCUCUUAGAAUGUUUUCUGCUGGAGUUUACAGACUAAGAAGGUCAAAGCCCCAUCAUGUGGCUGGAGUGCUGUACUAACACAAAGACGUGCUCCAAAGGGUUCUGUGUCCUGAAAAGCAAAACAGCUCAAGGAGGUCAGGCAAAUGGACUGUUUGCAUGGAAGGCAAGGGACCAAGGAUGAGGAAAUAUCCAGGUUUCAGCAUUUCUUAGCCAGUGGGAAUCUGUUAAUGCAGAUGCUUGAAAGUGUUAGCUGUGAGGGAGCAGAAGAUGCUGUUGAUGAGAGGUACAGAAAGUACCAAUUGCUGGCAGUUUUGCUGGAGAGGCUGCAGAAGAUGGGGAGCAGUGGCAAAGAGCAGCUUGCUCUUCAUGCAGUGGGGAUGAUACAAGAAACAACACCAAGAGGGGAGGGAUGCAGUCAUAAGGUAUUUGCAGCAGUUUUAAGUAAGCAAUGGUCUGAGCUACAAGUAAAUACUUGUUUCUUCUACCACAGCAUGGUGUGGAGCACAGAUCUGUAGGAGCUGAAGACUGAAAGGAUUGGAUGGUUCAAAUAAACUAUCCGUAGUUAAAAUGUGAAUUUAAAAAUAUAAAUUCUGUUCACAGCUACGCUUGUGUUUACAAGUGCCUGCUGCAAACUCAAAACAUUUAUGAUAUUCCCUCAUAUGUUAAAAAUCUCCCACACAAACUAAAAUACUCCUCUGAACAAUCCCACCCUGACAUUUGUGCUGCUAUUUCUGUAACAGAGGCAAGAACACAACUAAAAAUUCUUUAGGGAAAUCGGUGACACAAAUACAAUGCCUUACAUUGCUUUUCUAUGCGUGGGAUUUAUGUCAGCUAAAAAGAGAGGAAUGAUGGAGUAGAGGGGUUACCAUGUACCAUUUUUGUUCAUGCUGUUCAUCCACUUAUCGAGCUCUUCCAUUUCUAUCUCCAUAACAGAGGGUGUGUCCUCUUCGAAAAUAGGGCUUGAAAGGAGGGGGCGAAAAAGGCAUUACACAAAAGAUUAAAUCAACAAACUGAUAAGGACUGUCUCAUUCCAGGCAUAUGUAGGCACUGUGGAAAGCCAUACUAGGUGAAUGACCUGGGAAGAGGUCAGCCUGAAGGGUGUAUGAAGGCAAUGGCAGCAAGCAGAUGUCAACAGCUGGGCUGUGCAUGGCAGGGCUUGCUGGGACACCAGUGCAGAGAAGGGUCUGGGGCCUAGGUGGUGUGGUGUGGGGUGCCUGGAAGCAGAGGGCUAGCACAGAUAUCCUGUACCCCUCCCUCCUGCAAAUAACAAAUUGGCAAACAAAUGUGUUUGUCUGUGGAAUACAUGGUAAGCAUCCUAUUAUCACUGCUGUUCCAGUGAUUGAGUUUCGUUGUAGCUUGAAUAGCAGUGACAGUGACUUAAAAGGGAAAGGUCGUAGCUAUCCUAAUUCUGUAUUUAUUUGUCUCCAUUUAGUCUUCUCUUUACUGAUUGUUCUUGGAGCCACGUGGUUGAAGAAUUAUUUUUAGCAAAUUAUUUUUUUCUCCAUUAAUCCAGUUUUGUAUCUUCCAGCACUAAUUAGCAAGAUGGGGCUUGAUAAGUUAUCACUUGAGUCAGAGCUGUGCAGCUCUUAACUGUUUUGUUUUUUUUUCCAGCACAGCCAAAGAGGGGGAAGACAAGCUUGCAAACAGGGGCAAAUGACACAGAGCUUAUACUAAAUGGCAGAAGAGUGAUAGGCACAAACUUUACCUUUUCACAUUUUCACUCCCCAGCUCAUCUGGAAAAGAAAAACAGUUUGUGUUCUGAGUUACCUUGUUUGUAUAUAUACUAUAUUAUAGGAUAGUCUUCAACAGGGUUAUUUUGAAUGAGUUCUGUUUACAAAGGGUGUAACCGUUCACUUUUAGAAGAAAGACAGAACAACCCACCCUGCUUGCCUGCUGUUUUCACAGCAGCCCACUUUUAAUCCUGGGCACAGGAUUAAAAUCCAUGAGCACAGCCUGGCUGAGAGUGGGUGGAUAUCAGCAUUGUGGUGAACAUGAGUACACAAACGCCUAAUUCACUAGUAAAGCAUGCUUGUAUGCUAUUUUAAACCGACUAAUAUUUAAUUAAACAUGGCCUGUGGGUGCCAACCCCAGUGCCAGCAUUACUCCCAUGCUACAGAACCCACGAUCAUGGAUCCAUCCACCCGUUCCUCAGCAGUGCUCAAAAUUCCACCCCCAAUGGGAAAUGUGUGGGAGAUCCUGAGGUAGUCUCUGGUCACAGAGACUAGAAAUGGGCAACAAGGUGCCUGUCUGGGAACUGAGAGUUUGCUAGGGGUGUGGGCUGACAUAAGGCAGGCACAGCCUGAAAUUGCCAUGGCAAAUGACACCUUCAUGAAUUCAUCAGUUGCCUUCAUGACACCUGUACCACCACUUCAGAAGACCAUUUAUGAAUAAAAUGCCACAACAUGGCUUUUUGUUGCUUUAUGCUCCAGAUCUGCUGAUUUCUCUGUUGAAGGUGGCUUCCUGAAACACCACUUUCCUUCCUGGGGCCAGAGCAGCUGCGUGGCCCUGGCUCAUGUGGUUGGCACCCUCUGGGGCCCCUUACAAAGUUCCCUUAAAAUGGUUAUGCCUGUUCUUAUUCUUCUGAAGUGCCCAACAGUCUCACCCUGCAGGCAGUAUAAGGUGAGAGUAGUGCGUGAUCCACCUUGUUUGUACUUGUUGAGCGCAAAGAUAAAGUUUCACAGCUGUGGCCCCAUUCUGUUGUGGGUAUUGUGAGGAGCUGCCAUGGAUCCAUGGGCACAUGGCAUGAGCUGAGAAGCUGCUACAGCUUACGACAUGGGGCUGCUGCAUGCUUCCCCUUUCCUGCCCAAGAGAUGUGGAACUAAAAACAGAGACAAGCAUCCUAAAUGGGGCAUCCUGACACUUGAAAUAAUUUGUUAAAUGAUGUCAAGUGUGUGGUAACGAUUACCUCCCAAUGCCCACGAAGAGAAGUUUACCUUGCUUAGACUUUUUCCGGUUAUGGACCAUUAUAAAAAUGAUGACCAGCAAGAUCAGCAGGGCCAGCACCACUGCAGGCACAGCAUACACUAGGACAGAUGGCUCUUCCGUCUCUAGGCUCCCGUUACUGCUCGUGUCGCUCAGUUCAGGGCUGGGUGUACUGUCUAUUUCCAGGCUGCCUUCAGUGGGCCCUGCAGUGACCAGCACUGGCUGGGGGCUGCUCACAGAGGUAGGGGAUGUGGGAGGUGCAGAGGGAGGUGGCACUGUAGCAGUGGGUAAUGCUGAUGUUCCAUAUCCUGAGCCAUCCUCGUUGUUCUCAGAGCCUGCCAAACACAGGGGCAGGGACAAGUUAACAUUUUGUGGGUUUCAUCAACGUUAUCAGUGAGUCAAAGCACACAGCUGUGGUAUUCAUUCAAAGUGUUAAGAAAGAUAAUCAGUGAAUGCAUGCACACACACCUGAAUUCUUGGCCUUUGGAUGCUAAACUAGAUGGCAAGUCUGCCACAAGUCUCUACCUCAGUGUGGUUCUUCAGCUGACUUGUUCAGGGUUGCUGACUUCUACGUUACCCCCCAGUUUCGGCAGGUUGCCAUCGUGGUACAGCAUUUAUGCUACAAAGCAGGAUGGAAUGGCAUGACCUCUGCAGUGACAUGAUUGUCUCUGCUGUUGUCAGGUGCGGGCAGAUAGAGUUUCCACUUGAGUUAGCCAGAGCUUCAGGUUUUUAGCUCCUCAUUGCUGGCAUUUCAAAUCUCACAGGACUGGAUCCGAAAGCACUUAGCAUUUAAAACGCUUUGGUAAACACAUUAAUCUUCAUAAUGGCCCUGAGAGAUGAGCAGUUAUCAUCUCCAUUUUACAAAUGAGAAAUCAGAAGGACAGAAUGCUGUCCUUCCCAGGGACACUGAGAAAGAGGGGAAAACUGAGGUAAGAGCGCUACCUCUUGCUUCACCCACCCUGCAACAUCCUCACCUGCCACAUCUGUCUCAAGAAGGAGCUGAGCAUCCCACGGGACUGCAUGCCAGGAACCCCAAUUUCAAAUCAAUGCAAUGCUCUGAGGGGGACAGCAGCAAUCUAUCUGCCUCUUUAUGCCAGUUAUCAUGCAGGCAUCUGAUUGUUUCAUCCUCUCCUACAAGCUAGGAAAGAAUGUUAAUGCUUAUUAAAUAACAGGUAAUACUUCAGUAAGGUAUUUGGCUACUAUGAAAGCCACCAGCCCCUUUCACUGCAGUACAACAAUGUGAAUGUUAGCUCUUUGAUGGCAAAAGACUUCAUGUCAGUAGCUUCCAUGCUGUGCUCUUCCCUAUUCAGCCAAGAGCAAAGCACAACCUCUGCCUCCCUGCAGGCAGUGACUCCUUAUGCAUGUGCUCCUGUGAUCUGCUGGCUCUCAUUAAUCCUCUCAUUACAGAGGACGGGAAGAAGAGAGCCUCUCCAUUACUCUUUUUAGCAACCUGACUUCUCUCCAGGGGUAGUUCAUAGUCCCAGCAUUUGCAGCUCCUCCAUUUAUACCACGUAUGUUUACCUCCAUCACUGUAUGUGGCCAGAGUGCUGCCGGCAGGGCAGACACACCGCUGGGUGAGUUCCUGCAACCACGCUUCUCUCUCUGCUGUGGCCAUCCCUCUGACACCUAUCAGCUGCCUGGGCUGGUAGAUGUACAAGGACAAGCUUGCUAAAAAUAGCGCAGAGGGGAAAGGGCAUGGGGGAAAUUGUUUGUUUUUCAUUUACUAGUAGAGCAAAGAUGGAUUUUUCAAAUGUCUGAAGCAUGAGGUGACUCCAAAGGAAAAGCAAACAGUCACAUCUCAUUAAAUGCAGCACCAGGCUCUCAGCUGCGGCAUAUGCUGUGUUUGAUUUCCAAGAGAGACAUUUCCAAUGUCUCCACUACUUUUUAUUUGCCUAUAUUUGAACUGCAAAGCAGUUUUCAAGCUAUCCAUCUCUGCAUGAAAUAGAAUUACCUUUUCUAGUCUCUGGAUAAAGAAAAUGGCAAAUCACAGGGAGGAGUGACCUUGUCGCCACGUAUUUUUGUUCACUUUACAUCAUUCCAGGGACAAAACGCGGUCUCUUUUUUGGACAAGCUUUCCUCUCACUAAGGCAUUUUCUUCGAGCAAUUUGGCUGUCUUUCAGCAUCAGGGCAGCCGAUUGCACAAGGUUCCUGCAAGCACCGUGCUCUCAUUUCCCUUGUUCCCCCGUAGCUGUGGCACACCCCAUGCUACCCUGCUGCCUGCCGCUCUGGUCCCCAGCACAGGGAUGCCAUGAUGUCUGUGCUUCCGAGCCUGCCUUUCAGGGCAUGCAAAGGGAGCUGAAUGUCCCAAGCAGCUUUUGUAGCAGGACCUGAGCAGCUCCGCAAACAAAUAACAUUUCUGCUGUGGCUGCAUUUCUUCCCCCGAGGUCUGUGUUGAGGCACUUGGAGGUGGCGAUAGGAGCUGUCGACGAAGCAGGCAGGCAGACAGGUUUCUGGUUGUGGCUGGAUGAGAGGCAAAAUAAAACGCUUGCAGUCAGCACGCUGAGUUCUGCUGGCAAGGCCCUGUUCCGCCCGCUGGGCUCUCAUCGAGCUUGUGGGCUGCAAUCUUUGAAGGGAGUUUUCCAACUUACACUACAGCUCCUACUUGCAGAAGAAAGAGGGCUGGGAAGGACCAAGUCUGAGUCAAUGGAACAGUCAGGCUUAGUAAUUUGGGAAUUUUUGGUUUCUCCAUACUUUUGUGUGAGUUAUACAAACACGGCGGCAGGAGGACUCAGGAGAGGGAGGCAAAUCCAGCAGAGGCCAGGAGGCCCUGCAGAGUAAGAAACCCCUCCACUCGUGGCACCACUCCCAACCUCUGCCCCUCCUGGCAAUGCACUCCCACGGCUCCACGCCAUGCGCGUGGCGGCUUAGCUGUGCCUGACUCACCCCUCGCCCUGUGCUGAUCCGAGCACAGCCACUCCCUGCCAUGCCCAGGGCCUGCCCGGCCUGCAUGCUACAGCAGGUCGCUACCGGCGCUGCCGCGGGCCCUGCAAGGCACCAUGAACAUCUCAGGGCAGCUGCUCUGUCAGCUGCAGGCAAGAGCCCAUUAGAGAGGGGUGCUUGGAACUUCCUCUCUGGGUGUUACCUGGAGCAGGGAGCCAGUGUUUGAGCUCCUUUCUAGGCAAUAGAAAGCUGUGCUCCCACUCCACCUAAAUGCUCCUUUAAUGGCUAGUGUCCUGUGUUUGGUCCUGUGCUUGGAGUCAUACUGUGAGUUUGCAGCCUCAUUCAUCACCCUGAAAGCUACAGCUUUUCCAGACCAAACUGUGCUUUUAGCUACCAUUUGAUCUCAUGCCCUUCCAGCUCCACACCAGUGACAUGCAACCCUGCCGCAUCCAGACACAUGGGUGCACACCUCUCAGUGCUCCUUGCUCUCAGCAGGGCUCCGAAAUUAAUGAUUCAACAGCCCUAGGGUCUCAGCAGCAACCACAGAGUCUCUCAAGGCACUACAGCCUGGGGUCACUGACUGAAAUUUAAUGUACAUGACCCCCUGCAUGGAGCAAGCACUGGGACCUGGGCAUGCUCACUGUGCUGCCACCCCUCAGGAACUGCAGGGUGGCCGGGACAAAGCUGUCUGUGCAUCACAAUCCAAAUGGCAAGGCAAGGGUUUUACAGGGCUCCAGUGCGGUGUGGGAGCAGGGUUUAUAAGGCUGCCAUCUGUCUGUGCUGCAAGGUCUAAUCAGGCUCCCAUCGCCUCCUGUGGAAGUGCUUUCCAGAUAGCACAGGUGAGACUGCAGGGAUCCCAGAGCUUGAGAUAUGUCUGGGGCUGGAGGAGAUGGGAGGAAAGCUCCCAGAAAGCUGCUGCUCUGUCAGUCUGUGAGCAGAAAAUGGUGAGCACGCUGGAUGCCCUGGAGGGGCUGGCCACAGCAGAACUCUCCUAGCCCAGCUGUGGCUUGUAUAAGUCCCUAUAGAAACCCGGAUCCCUCUGGGUCUGUUCCUCUUGCCUCUCUGCUUCGCUGAGACCUCUGCUCUGCUCUGUUCCUGAUGGGAUUUUUCUUCCCAUGGAUGCUUUGAUCGUGAGGCACGUGCAAAGCCUGCAGCACUUUUUCCUGACAUGCCUGAAGCACGGCAGGGCUGCCUUUAACUCAGGCAAGACCAAACCAUUUUGUAACAACUCUUACCUCAUUCUUACAGCUAAGCACGAUCGCUAACCGCGAUAAGGUCUGCAGCAUGCCUGGAACCUGCAGCCCAAUUAUACAGCCUGGAAUAGUACUGACUUUCAGGAAAAAAAAAAAUGAACAACCAAAAUACAACCCACCUAUUUCUCCCUGCCCGCAGCUUUAACACACUCCUGAUCCACAACAAGGCAGCAAGCAGUGGCUGGAGUGAUGCCGGGAGGUACUUUGGCCCCACAAGGGGAGGGCUGUCCCCGCAGAGAGCCCCGCACCUCAAGCUGUGAGCUGCACGCCCAUAACAGGAGCCCUCAGCGCUCAGCCGUGGGCAGCCCUGCCCUCGGAGCUCCUGAGCGCUCAGCAAGGCAGGCCGCCAAAUAUUGAUCUCAGCACUGGCUGUUCUUUUGGGUUUCAGAUCAUCAGUGCUGUAGAAAUCAGCAGCUGGCUUUUGAGUGGAAGGAGAGCUUCAGCUUGGUCUUCAGCUUUACUAUUGCAUGCAGUGGGCAGUAUGGGUUUGGGAUUAGGAAGGUACAAGAAACAGUUAACAUUAGACCUAAAAGGAGCCAUGAGCAAGACUGGAGACGGCAGUUCCCACACCCCUAGCCUGACAUUUCGGAUUAAAUCUCCAUCACACAGCCUCACAUCUAAGGAGAUGCAAUAAGGAGAAGACACCGCCAGGAAGGAGCCAGACAAGCGGAGGUGGCACGCGGCUGCCGGUAGCAGCAAGCAAGCUCCUGCAGGUCCCCUCUGCCCAGGGUCAGCCACCAGCUGUCACACCCCAAGACCCCACCAGCUCCCGGGGUCCCCAUGCCAUGGGCCACUCACCGCCUUGGGCUGUGCCCUGCCGGACCAGGAGCAGGGCGCUGAGCAGAGGCACCCAGCCGGGCGCCCACAUGCUGCCUCAGCCUGCGCGGCUCUCUGCGGGCUUCGGCAGAGCAUUUACAUUUCCUGUUUCCUGCCCCCGGUGCCUCCGAGUUGUGCUUCUUUGGGAGAUGGGCUCCGUUUGAUUGUUUUUAGGAAGUGAUGUAAUGCCGUCCGGGCCUGUCAAGCAGGCAGGGAUUGCAAAAGCGAGAGGAGGCUGCUCCUCCAGCUGAGGCACCUGUGUGUGGGCUUCCCGCCCUCUCUGUUCCCGCCUGCUGGGACGGUCCUGACACCAUCCGCUGUCCUCAGCACAGCGAGACAUCCACACCCUGCAUGGUCUGGGCUCCAACACCACGUGUCUGCGUUAGGCUGGGCGGUUUCAGGUUGUCUUUUGGAGCGACUGAGCCAGUGCACCACAGAAACACCAUGCUGUUUCCAAGCUCCACUUGUCCCAUUGCAAGCAGUGCUCAUUUGCCAUCCCAAACGGCAGCUCCCAGAGCUGAGCUGGCUCCAGGAAAUGGGUGAAAAAAAGCUGGCCCACCUAGCAUCCAGUAUUUUUGAGUAAUUUUGGCAAAGAGGAGCAUAAAAGCGUCUUGUCCAGAGCAGGUGGCUCAGCUGGAAAGCGCUCAGUGAGGGCAGUAGGUGACAAGGAGACAGAGGGACCUCAACCACACCUCCCCCCAUGCAGAGGUGUUUGGAUCAUAGGCUUGUUUGCUCCACUGCAAAAGCAGCUAUGAGAUCUAAAAUUCACCUGUCUGCAUCCAGCAGGGUCCACAGCCCAGCUUCUACUCUGGAGCAUCCCAAACGUGAGCCAGUUUAGAUGCCUGCCAAAACACUUUUCAGUACUAAACUGAGGAAGAAGAGAUGCAUGCUCCUGUGAAGCAUCUUCAUGGCAUCUCCCCCAGACAUCAGCCUUUGUCAAAAUCUAGUUUCUGGUGAAUUACUGGAAGUUGGCAAUGGUGAAUCUUUCUAUUCAGGCUGGUAAAAGAGGCUGAAGUGACUAAUUGCUGCUCCGGUUCUGCAGCUAAUAACUUUCCUUAACACAUUGAUGCUUUUAUAGGUCAUCAGUCACGGUUUCUUAGCUCAAGUAGCAAAGAAAUAGGUCAGUGAUUCAUUUAAUGGCCAGCUUGUUAAUAGAUUUAAAACGCUUCAAUGACUGAGCUAACUAACAAUUGGAAGUGGUCGCGUAUUAUUGGCAGCGUACCUUUAUGCACUGCUUAAGACAGAGAGGGAAAAAAGCAAAGCUACAGCACUGCAGCUGCAAGAAGAUAAAGAGGAGCUCUGACAACACCAAGUGGCUGAUAAUCAUUUCUGAGAGACGUCCUUUACUGCCUGAUAAUCCUUCCCUGACAGAUGCUUCUGAGGUGAGGCUUGUGCAUGCAUUUAAGAUUUUCUUGCUAAAAGGUUGCACAAGUUCCAAGUGCCAGUAAUAGUGAGUAACUGAUAUGGCUGCUUUCAAUUAUUGCUCAUCCACAUUGCAGCAGUGCCUGGUAUUCCUACUCCUGGGCUAGAUCUUUUCCACAACAAAAGUAUCAGCAGACAAAAAUCUCUUCCCAAAGAGCCUGCUGAUUUAAUGUACAAAGGAUGCAUUAUUCCCCUUUUAUUUCUUCCCUCUCUUUCCCCAGUUUGCCACUCACAGUCCUCCUAAUGCCACGUGAGCUGCAAACAUUUUUCUCUCUGCUUACCCUGUGCUGCAUAUCUGUCUGUGUACAUUCUGUAGGUGUAGCCCAGCUCACUCAUCCCUUACUAAAACAUGAGAUGGACUGGAAGGGAAAAGAGGAAAGGACUUAUUUACUGCUCUUUUUUUCCCCCUCAUAUUUCUACUACACAAGACAAUAUCCUUUCCUCUUUUCCCUUGAAGUCUUUCCAGAUAGGUUAUAGCAUUUCCCACUUGGAUCCCCACCAAUCAUUUUUGACACACGUUCAGUUGAAAACUCAUGGCUGCCCCUCGAGAGCAAGAUAACCACCCACUGGUGUGUACCUAAUUAAUGAUUUAUAAGGCAAAUUAAAGUUCAGAAAACGUGACUUCAUGCCACAUAACAUUUUAAUUAAGACUUCAGAGCAAUACAAAGGCAACUUGGUGUGCAUUUAACUAUUUCAAUGCACAAAAUGCAGCUGCUCCUGCAGAGCCAGUCCCAAGCAGGAGUGCUCCUAGCAGCCAUUUACACAAUUUCAGCUUUUCUUGUUUUGUUUUUUGAGCCCUUUUUGUACCCUGUGAGCAUGUUUUCUUGAUUGCAUUAGUGAAUACAAAAGGAAGGAGUCCAAAUUCAACCUGCUUUGAAAUUGGAGGUCUCGCUCGCUACCUGCAGCUGCAUGAGAGCAGCGACCACCUCAUUGCAAAACAAAUGUGUGCAUUUGGAAGCUGGGGCGGCUGCAGCCACAGAGGGUCUUUGUGAGAGGGUCAGAUUGUGCCUGGUAAUUUUAUAGCCCUUUGUGCACUGAGUGGGAUCCACGAUUCACCUUAGCAAAAAGAAAUGAAAGACAAACGUAAGCUUCCUGUGUGCUUUCAGUGGAUGUCAACCAGCUGGAAACAUCUGUGCAUGUUUUCGGUACUGUUGGUAGUCUGGCUGUUUGCUAAUCCCUUUUUAAUCAGAGAAAUGUUUGCAUCACUGAGAUUCCAGGGACACCAGUGCCACAACGUAAGAAGAACAGCAGUGUUUUGCAACGCUGUGGCCACCUGACUCACGCUCUUCUUGUUCCUUUUUCCUACGAGAGCCCCAACAACACCACAGCAGCUGAACCUUUGAGAGCAGUGGAACACGUUGCAGGGUGCUUCAGACUGACAGCACGUAUCUUCUCAGCUGUGAAAGAAGCGUAAGAAAAGAAGAAAAUCACAUCUGUGCAGUGGUAUUCUACCAUAAAAAAUGCAACAGCACACCCAAACUGUAACACGAGCUGUAAGAAUUUUUCCAGCCACACCUUAAAUCUGAAGAUGAACUUUGAUGUCCUAAAAUAAUGCUGCUUAAAUAUUGCUUGAGACUUUUUUAGGCUGGGGCAGCUGUCAUUUGAUCCUCCCAUCUAAGUCCCUCUCUGUAUCUUUGAAGCAAAAUAUUCUUUACAUUUUCCUCUGCGUAUUUUCACUGUAAUUACUGAACUUCACUUCUCAAAUAGCUAAUAUAGGGUCCAGACUAUAAAGGAACAUUAAAGAAUGGCUUUUUUAAA